GACAGAGGGUGCAAACGUUGUUCGGAAUUAUUGGGCGUAAAGCGCGCGCAGGCGGUCCUUUAAGUCUGAUGUGAAAGCCCACGGCUCAACCGUGGAGGGUCAUUGGAAACUGGGGGACUUGAGUGCAGAAGAGGAAAGCGGAAUUCCACGUGUAGCGGUGAAAUGCGUAGAGAUGUGGAGGAACACCAGUGGUGAAGGCGGCUUUCUGGUCUGUAACUGACGCUGAGGCGCGAAAGCGUGGGGAGCAAACAGG
rnacentral:rRNA from 1 species